GGGCCAGAGUGACUCACUGGGCUCCCAACUUGGGGUCAGUCAUGGAGAGGGUGACAGAUCCUCGGCCAACGAGGCUCCUGCUCGCCCUUCAGCCCUAGAUGCAGCCAUCCAAGACCACUUUUGGAGCCAGGGAGGAAGGGCCAAACACCAGUUGGGGAACCCCCGAGGAGCGGUAGGGAAACUGAAAACUUAGAAGGAACUAACGGGGUCGGGUCGUUGUUGUCCGUAUUCAAAAUCUACCAGAACAAACAAGCUGCGAGCAGCAAGGAGCCAGAGAAGGGGCUGGACCAGGGGCUUUCAGUGAUCUUUCCAUCCCGGAAUCUCCGAGAGCACUGGAGAGAGCCAAGCCGGGAUUUCCAAGGGCUCUGAUGAUUCACUGCCCCACACGAGCCUCCUCAUGGCUGCCGAGGCCUCAGAGAGCUUCCAGAGAGGGUUUGAGCCCGAGAGUGGAGCCACGCCGUCCACAGAUGGUGGAGAACACGAGGGAGGGGAUGGUCCUCUUGCCUACGGUCCCUGUGCGCCUUCCUCGCGGGCAUGCGCACACGGGUCCGUCGCGGUUCGCUUCCCGACUAAGCCACAGUUCUCUCGGCCCUGACAAGCUCGCUCUUCCCUCCGUUCCACGCCUGCACUCACUUUGCUAAAGGCGCGAGUGCCAGGUUCCAGUGACCCCUGACUCUAGGAGGGAAGGAGGAUCUGCUAACCUGAUGUCCGGGUAGCUCCGUAUAAGUGUUUCCAGGUGCCGCCGGAUGUCGUCUUUGUAUGUCUCGCCCAGGAUCUCAGCCACAGACAGGAUGGCUUGGUCCAGCCACUUGGCUUCAGAGCCCUAAGGAAACAGGGAGAUAUGUGCAUGGUUCAUCUCCCCCAAGGAGUCUCUGCCUACAAACCUCUCCUGUAGUGCCCAGAAACACCCUUCCCGUGUGUCUGCCGCGGGUGGCUUGCCCAUAAGAAGAUUCCACGGAGUCAGGGAAUAAGAUUCCACAGACCACAUCUGCGGUGACUCUGGAGAGUUUUCUUCCUGUCUGCACAGACGGGAAAUCCGAGCCCUGACCAGGAAAGUGCUGAUUGGAACCUGUCACCAGUAGGAGGCCAGCAGCCCAGAUAAGGGGUUUGGGCUCAAAGUGCUCCCGAGAGGGGAAAGAUCUCCCACAGACCUUGCCCAUCAUAACCUUCAUUCCUUCUUUGCCUUCACCCACAAAUGUAUGCAAAUACAAUGUAAAGUGAAACCCCCUCCUGUGCCCGCCCCUUUAGAGUCUAGCCCCACUGCCAUUUUCCCUGUGGAGUCUGAAGAACCGCCUAGUGGAAGCUCUUUUCUCCUGCUUCACCCGCCGUGAGGGCUCUUUACAGGAUGAAAACAACAGAAUAGGGGGUUCCUGGCUGGGUUUGCUGGCCAGAGACUGAGCCCGAUUGACAGUCAGACGCUGCUCCUACCAAGCCCUGGAAGGUGUUGCUAAUGGCCUGGGCAUCCAGGUUCAUCUUAUUAGAGCCCUUCAGUCGAUCCUGGCCACUGAACCUCUCGUGGGGCCUCAGCACCUGCCCCAGGUAUUCGCGGACCACAAAACGGUGCACCUCCUGCAGUGUCUCCUGGGAGAGGGAGAUGGUAGUGGUCAGGAUCAAAGCCAUGGGCUCUGCACACCCAUGCCAGCCACCCACUUCCUGGUACCUGUGCCAGUGGUGGGGUCACAUGCUCAAGAUGAUGUGCAAAGUCCACCACUUUGUCCAUGAGGGGACGAAGUGUGUCCUGUGUGAGCCAGCUCUUGGUAUAUAGCACCUUAAAUAGAGGCUGGGGACAGAAGGGCAUGGGAAGUGAGCUCUGUUCACCGUUUCUAACCCCCUUCCGUGCUGGGCUCCCUGGUGCAGCCCUCUUUUCUAGGCACGGGUUUUAUCACUAGGUCCUUCCCAUAAUGCUUCCUCCAAUGGGUAUGGAAAAGUCUAAGAGUCUUGUCAGGCCCUGCUUAGGGUGUGUGCUGGGUGCACCUUGAGUGUCUGUCUGGUCAAGGGGCUUUAAGGCCCCUUAUUUCUUGGCCCACCACCCCACUGAACAGAAGGAGCAGCAGUGGGUUGGUGAGUGCUUCCCACCCACCCUUGCUCUGGGAGAACUCACAGAGGGCAAAAGAAUGGUGUGACCUAGGCCUGGACUUUAGAGCACAGAUGGGUACCGGGGUUGCGGGGGGCGGGGAGGGGGGCGCACAGAAGUGUCCAGUUCACCUGCAUGUCUUGCUGUACAAUCUGGAGCAAAUGUUUCUGGAAGCUAUUGGUGGCAGCCACCAGGGGUUUCUCCAGUUCCUUUAUGGUUCCUGGGAACCUGGCCAGAAGACUGGUUCUGGGGAGGAGCCAAGACAAGGAGUGAGCUGGAAACAGAAAAACAGGCAGAGGAGCAAGACCCCUCCCCCGGGGCACACCCCUGCAGGCUGGGCAAGGCACUGGUCUGCCUCCCGUUCAUUUUUCAGCGGUUCUUAUUCUUCCCGACGCAGUUCCUUGUGUUGUGGUGACCCCCCCAACCAUAACAUCAUUUUAGUUGUUUCUUCAUAAUUGUAAUGAAGCACGAUGCAAAUACCUGAUAUGCAGGAUAUCUGAUACCUUUGUGGAAGGGGUCGGGACCCACAGGUUGAGAAUCCCUGAUUUAGCUUGUAAUGUCCCUGGAGUUGUGCAAAGUAACACCCAGGGGCAGAACUGAAUAAAAGGACAACAUCAAAGCCCUGAGAACCAAUCAUUAACUCUGGCAGCAGGGUGACAGGGUGGCUGCUUUGGUCCUGUCUGGCAGCUUUGAGUCAGACCUCCAUGCCUCUUGGUGAUGGGACAUGGUAGCACAGCCAGGCCCGGCAGAAACUUUCCAAUGAGCUUCAUCCCUGCCUCUGAGAAUGAUACUGUCCCAUUGGGCAGGUACCCAGCUGCAUGGGUUACUGGUUGCACCAGCAUACACCUGCCCACCUGUCCCAGGCUACCCUAGGCUUGGGAAGUCACACUGGGUGGAUUAAGCAGGCACAUAGUGUAUCACAGUGCUCAUAAAGAGUGCUCAUAUGAGGGGGCUGGUGAGAUGGCUCAGUGGGUAAGAACACUGACUGCUCUUCUAAAGGUCCUGAGUUCAAUUCCCAGCAACCACAUGGUGGCCCACAACCAUCUGCAAUGAGAUCUGACACCCUCUUCUGGUGCAUCUGAAGACAGCUACGGUGUACUUAUUUUAAUAAUAAAUAAAUCUUUGGGUCGGAGGGAGCAGGGUUGACUGGAGCGAGUGGGGCAGACCGGAGCAAGCGGGGUUGGCCUGAGCAAACAGAGGUCCUAAAUUCAAUUCCCAACAACCAGAUGAAGGCUCACAGCCAUCCGUGCAGCUACAGUGUGUACUUAUAUGCAUUAAAUAAAUAAAU
ensembl:lincRNA Gm10425 predicted gene 10425